rnacentral:lncRNA from 1 species
GGGAGUGGUAAUUUUAAAUGUUUUUCCAAAUAGCUUUUUUUUUUAUGCCAUCAGUAGAUAUUUUAAUUGUACUAUAACUAAAAUUAGGAUGCAGUAACUUUCAUUAAUGAGAUGUAUGAACAAAGAACCAUAAAGUUUGGGGUUCUAAUGAUAUAUACCAAAGCCUCUGACUCUGAAAAAGAUUUCUUAGUUGUUGUGCCAUCUGCCUGGACACUAAUUAAAGGUUUAAAAAUAGAUGAUCUUUUGAAGGCAGGAAACAUGAAAAUAAUGAAAAAUAUUAAUAUAGAUCUCAUAAACCCACACUGUAACAAUGAUGUGUUUUAGGCACUGCAUUAAGAAAAAGACCAGGCUGAGCAGAUUCCAUGAUACUUAAUAAACAUUGUACAUAUAGUACAGUGUGCUCAUAGAAGGCAGGAGCCACAUCAAAGAGCAGGAAGGAAGGAUUAUUGAUUAGGUACUCUCAGAUCUCUUUGUGGUGAUGAUUAAUUUUUUUUUUUUUUUUGGUACCGGGGAUCGAACUCGGGUCCUUGCACUUCCGAGACAGGCGGCGGAACCACUGAGCUAAAUCCCUGGCCCAUGCUGAUUAAUUUUUAAACAUUAUUUUAUAACCAUACAAAAGAGGGAAUCAUCAAGAAAAAUCCACUAAGUAGAAGUCUUGCUAAUUAUAAACAGCCAAUCUUCCCCCGUGUCAUGUACCAGCAAGGACUCUUCAGAAUGGCUGGCGAGGAUGAGCGUAUGCUGACGCGUUCCUUGUUCCCUCAAAGCAGUGCACAGCCAAGCUUGAAAAAUCUUUAGAGACGAGAAGUCUUCAGUCCGUACUUCCCCAUUUAGCUUGGCAUGGUGUACUACAAUAAAGUGCUUAUUUUUCAACUGAGUGACUCUGUUACAUAGAGAGAUGAAAAGAAAAUAUAUUGUCUGUGCUUGCAUAAGAGAUACUUCAGAAACCAGAGAACUAAAUAAGCGUGUAACUGUCUUCUUCCCAUGUUCGUUAGCUGUUACUGCUAACACUUUUCAGACUGAACUGUUUGAAUAAAGCAUAUUGCAAAGAUCUUUAUAAUCCCCGCUGCCUACAAAGUGAGGUCAAAUGAUAUGACACAAAACUCAGCCUGCACAAUCCUCUUCUAUUUCUAGUUAACACUGUCAUUAAUCCACAAAGAAUUAAACAGAGGGGAACAAUUUAUAGACGUUCUCCUCCAAUUCCAAUGAUUCCCAUUGGUAACAGAACUGAAAUGUUAGCACUUGGCAGCUGUACUGAAAACGUUUCAGGUUGGGCAGUUGAGAUAAAAUCAUGACUAAACACUUGCCAAAUCCACCCUCACUUACCUACUCUCAUCAUUACCUCCCCCAAUAAUCCCUCAAAUAAAAAAUGAGUCAAACCCAAAUUUAAAGUAUAGGAGCUAAAGAAUCAAAACAAAUUAGCCAAGACUUGGGGGCAUGAGCCAGAUCAGAGACACUUGCUCACUGUCUUCUAUUUUCCAAUUAGUAGCAGAUGUGCCCUUGUCAACCAACUAUGCAAGAGUUGAUGGCAAAGACAAAAUGUUUUGGAAAACUGCUUAGAGCAGCGAAUCUUGGAGCAACAGUAGUAUCAGUACUAAACCACAGUGUCUCAGAACCAACCACAUCAACCACACCCUCAUCUGUC